CAAACGGCCUUUUUCAAGGCCAACCAUAUCCGUUUUUCGAGACG
rfam:Ixodes scapularis strain Wikel colony gcontig_1108379622518, whole genome shotgun sequence.